rnacentral:rRNA from 1 species
GACGAACGCUGGCGGCGUGGAUUAGGCAUGCAAGUCGAACGGUAUCAUCCUUUCGGGGGUGAGAGAGUGGCGAACUGGUGAGUAACACGUAGGUUAUCUACCCUCAAGACGGGGACAACCCAGGGAAACUUGGGCUAAUACCGGAUGUGAGCAACUUUUAGUUGUUUGAAAGGUGGCGUAAGCUGUCGCUUGGGGAUGAGCCUGCGUCCUAUUAGUUAGUUGGUGAGGUAACGGCUCACCUAGGCAAUGAUAGGUAGGCGGCCUUAACGGGUGGUCGCCCACACUGGGAUUGAGAUACGGCCCAGACUCCUACGGGAGCAGCAGUCGAGAAUAGUCUACAAUGGUCGGAAGACUGAUAGUGCGACGCCGCGUGAACGAUGAAUCCCUUCGGGGUGUAAAGUUCUUUUAUAUGUGAGCAGUGCUUCUUAUAUUAACAGUAUGGGGAGAGAGAUAUUAGCAUAUGAAUAAGCAACGGCUAACUCCGUGCCAGCAGCCGCGGUAAAACGU